rnacentral:rRNA from 1 species
UGAGAACAGCCGCGGUAAUACGUAGGGGGCGCGCUUUGUCCGGAUUUAUUGGGCGUAAAGCGCACGUAGGCGGAUUGGAAAGUUGGGGGUGAAAUCCCGGGGCUCAACCCCGGAACUGCCUCCAAAACUAUCAGUCUAGAGUUCGAGAGAGGUGAGUGGAAUUCCAAGUGUAGAGGUGAAAUUCGUAGAUAUUUGGAGGAACACCAGUGGCGAAGGCGGCUCACUGGCUCGAUACUGACGCUGAGGUGCGAAAGUGUGGGGAGCAAACAGGAUUAGAUA